ACAGACCCUGAUUCCGAUUCCCGGAGGCGAUUGGUCGCGGGAGGAGGGGCGGACUGGAGGAGCGGGUCCAGCCCCGGGGCCUGUAGGAAUAGCUGGCUCCGGCUGCCACCUAGCGGACGGGAGCCGCGACCGGGAGGCGCACUGCCGGGUCCCUCCUCCCCUCCCUGCAGGCAGCCUGUGCCUUUUCUCCAAACGAAGACAGCACUUUGAAAAUUCUUUCAAUGGAUUUUUUUUUUCCUUGAAAGAUCGUACUGGGGGAAAAUGAUACUUCUAUUAGUUUCAUAUUCUCCAAUCGCACACUCGCACCCCCCACGUUUUGAGAUCGCUCCCCUAGUCAGCUCAGGCGGGCGCGAAACGGCGCAGUGACAAAGCCGCCGCUGCAGCCGCCGGGGGUGGGAGCUGCGCUCGCCCGCCCGCCCCUCCACUCGGGAGAGCGUAAAAGUUUGUCUCAGCUCCAGCUUCCCUAGCCUCAACACGCCCUCAGGUACAGGUAGGAGUAAAUGACCACGCUGUAUUGACAGAGCCCCUCGAGCUCGAAUAAUGGAGAGACAGUCAAUGCACUCUGCAAGCGACGGCCCAUUGUCGCAGCUGAUGGAGAGGAGGUGACGGGGGCUGGCAGGGGCUCCUUGCCCUCGCCCCUCUUCCCAGAUAACGCGCUCACGUCUCCCGGUCAGUUAAAAGGUGAAAAGAACAUGAUUAAAAGACAAAAAAAAAAAUGUAAAAGAGAGAAAGAAAACAUGCUUUCUAUAUAUAAAUUCUAAAUUUUACUCCCCAUACAGUACAGAGGCAGGCAGUUGAGGGCAGAGGAAGCAGGCAGGAAGAGGGAGACAGGGAGAAGGAAAGAGAACGUGGAGAGACGGAGCGAGUGGAAGAGGAGGCGACAGACAGCAAGCACCAGGGAACCGGAGGCCCGCUGGACGCCCAGUUGCGGGCCCGGCCGCCCUCGGACACUGCACCGUGAGUCGUGGGCACCCGGAGAGAAAUUCAGCCAAGUCCUGCCCCACCAGGCAAGUAAUGCAAUGAUUAUCGUUUCUUUUGAACUCGGGGUUGGCAUCGCGGACAGGCCGAGAGGCAGCCUUGACUCGAAUGGCCUCUGCAGGCUGGGGCCGGAGUCCAGUUAGCGAGUGCGGACGAGGAGAACUUUCCGCAGGGUCUGCUCCGGAGCUGCCCUCGUCCGGCCUCUGUCCAGCGGCGGCGCGGAGGCAGAAAUGGACGUACAUCAAGGUUCUCAACAUUCUAUUGAAACUUCCUUGUCUUCAUGUGCAAGAGGAGCACCAGAACCUUACCCUGUGGCAGCUUCCAUGUCUGAUAUAAGCUGUUCACCAGGAACUUUGGCAAGUGAGUUGGCUAGAUAAGCAAGUCCUCCUCUACUGUGGGAAAACAACUUGAAGUUCACCCCUUUGAAGAUGUAAAUAAAGUCUGUAGGAUAUGGGUAGACUGAAUGCCUUCUUCACUGAAUACCUGCUUCAAAUCACCUUUCAUUUUCCUGUUGGAAAGACAACCAUUGGAGAGUCAACUUGUUACCAUCAGCAAAAAUGAAAACAAAUCAAGACAUUAAGAAUGCCGCAGUGGCCAGCAAUUAAUGACGCCAAUGUUACGCAAGCUUCAAGGAAGGAAGUUUUCAAGACAGUGUGCCUCACUAGCCAGGAUUCAGAAAAGAUUGAACGUUUCCUUUUUGUCUCAGCUUCUCCUUAAAUCAAUGCAGUUCCUCCAGAUUAAUGUGAAUUGAAACAUGCCUUGCCUUUUCAACUUAAGUACCCGCUAUGUGUGAAUCACUGCUCAAAUGGGGGAGGGAAAAUGAGGGAGACAAAAAAGAUGUGGUCCUUGCCUUCAAUGGAUUUACAAUUAGUUUCAGGGUGCAUUUUUUUUUCCUGCUGCUCUUAAUUAAGUGUGUCCCUAAAACAGGAAAUGAAUGGAAAAGUAUAUUCUAUAAGUAUUUUAAGUCCCUUUAAAACAAAACAAAGCAAACAAAACAAAAAAAUCUAAUGUGGGCAACUCAGGACUUCUUAAUUCCAUUUUCUUUUGGACUUCUGAUAGGAUUCAUUUUAUUGAUUCCAUAAAUAUUCAGUAGACUUGAGAGGUAUUAACACACUAUUGAGUUGGAGUUAAUUGAAUUAAAUUCUUUUUUUCCCCCCUUAGGUGUAGCUUGUCUCUUGGAAAAAUAUAUUGUGUUUGUACAUUUCUUGGGGGGUGGGAGGUGAAUUACUUCAGUUGUUUCUAUAGGCCUCUACCUUCCAUGUUCUGGGGGCCUGCCCUUCUGAGUGAGUUAUUAGCAUGGAGAAGUGGCAGGUUUGGAUUAAGUUUGAGGAAGGAGCAAAAGACAGGGCAAGGAAGGAGCAAAAGAUUCUGCAGCUUUAUGAAAAUUUGGCUUUUUCAGUAUUCAUUAACUGUCCUCUAUGUUCCGUAAGUUGAAUAACCUAUACAAUUUUUCCAAAAAACUACUUUUGAUGUGGGAAUAAGUAUAACUCAGGAUUUGUCCAGUGUUAAGACACUAAUGUGACUGCAGGCACUAGACAUUUUAUGUAGUGUCUGUGACACAUUUCAGUAUGUAUGAGCCAACUGUAGACAUGUCUUUAUCUUGAGUAGUGUCCAUCUGAAUUGAAAAUGUGCCAGGUUUUUUUAAACAUCAACAGACUUCUUAAUUAAGCUGCCAAUACAUACUGCCAAUAACAUUGUGUGCCCUUUGAGAAAUGAAUUGUGUAAGUGCCAUUUCUCUCUUAUUGAAUAAACAAUGUUGCUUUAUAUAAAAUGGAUUCAAAGUAUUCUUUGAAUGGGGCAUUACAUUGCUACUUAAAUAAUUUUAUGAGAAUUCUAAUACCAUCCCCUUUUAUUUAAUUUCUAAAAACUUUAUUUUGCUUUGCACUAAGGAAUAGCUCUAAUUUGACCAAUAACUUCAGUUAUAUGAUUCAUCUAAUAGGAUGAAUCCCCUGCCCCAAAACUCCUGAUGGUGAUAUUGGAUAUUUGUUAUGUCACUUUCAGUUUACCUGAAAUAGCUUCCAGGCAAUCUGAGUUAUGUAUUGUAUUUUGCUAAAUUGUAGAUACUUGUUUCCUGUUCUGGGAGUGUUUUUUAGAGGGCCUGUCUCUAUUCCUGGUGCCUAGUACAGUGCCUGGUGCAUCAUGGGUAUAUGUUCAGUAAACAUUACAUGUCUUGGUGAUCAAGCCAUGUAAAAUACUGCUUUUAGCUGUAGUUCUUAUAGCUGUGUAUGAGUGAGAGUUGUCUUAUUAACAGAGGAGCACCUUAAUUUGUUUGCAGUUUGCAGUCAGUCUAUUUAAAAUUAGCCCAAAUCGGUGAAUACGUCAUGUGCAGUCUAAUUCACUUCUUAAUUGGCAUCUUGGAAUUCACCAGUUCAGCCCUGUGGUUUGUACCGACAUCCACUCUGCUUCCCCUGCCCUUGCCCUGCUCUGCCCACUCAAGGGUGGUGGGGCCUUUGGAGGGGCUGCUCUGCCUCUCCAACUCUGGCUUGUCCAUCAGUAGAGGAGCAUUCACUGUCCAUUAAGUACUCCAGAUGUGCCAGGUACUGAGCUAAGUGUUUUACACAUAUCCUCUCCCUUACUUUUCUCAUUUAAAGCUCACAAUAACCAUUUGAAGUAGGUUUUAUCACUGUAGAGAUAUGUAUCUUGCCUAAUCAUGGAGAUCUAAAUGCAGAUCUCUUAGACUCUAAACCCUGAACUAUUAACCCCUACCCUCUGCUGCAUCCCAGGAGAAAUUCCCAGUGCUUGGUGAUGGGGAGCAGAUCAAAUCUGGGCAUAGUUCAGAUUUAUUACAGUUAGUAUUCCCAGCAAACUGUCUAACAGAUAAAAUCCUGCAAAUCACAGUUGUUUUGAAAAUGGGGGAGGGCAGAGCAAUUGGUUGAAAGCAAAGUUGGAAACACACCAAUUUGAGUCAAACCUUUAGCCUUUACUUCAUAAGGCUUUUUUUAAAAAAGAAAAUUUUCUUUUUUUAACAUGGUCUGACACCAUGUGAUAAAUCAAAGCCUGAUGUAAUUGACCCAGAAUUGAUCCCCAAAUGUCUUUUGGGGGAACAUGCUUUAACUCUGGUUGCUGAUUCUGAGGAAUAAUUGCCACCCUAGAAAGGUAAUUAUAUAUGCCAUUGUUUAUACACAUAAUAGGCACAGAAUGCAUGUUCUGCACAGAGGGGAAGAGAAUUCUGCAUGCACAUUAGGGGUGUAUGCUAUGUAUUCUGUCAGAAUGCCACAAAUAACAUUUGAACCGCUCCCGAUUACUGCUGAUUUUCCCAGCAGACUUGCUCGUGUGUGUGUGCAUAUGUGUGUGUGUGUAUAAGGAAGAAGUUAGAAGUCAGGAAGGGGAUGGGCCAUGGAAGGCUGUUGGUUGAGCUGAAAUGGCAGUGAUUUUGCUUUUCCUUAAUUUUUUACUUUAACAAAACCUACUGGAUGUGAUUCAUUUAACUUGGUAAAAAGACUGUUCUCUUCCUGUUUGGCAUCUGCUUAUUAAUGAGUUCUCAUAUUUCUUUUCAUCAAGGGCUGUUUACUUUGUGGAAAUACAAAGUGAGAAUCUUUCUGCACGACAUCCUCCUGAAUGCCCCGGUUUUGACCACCCCUUUAAGUACACCGAACAGUCAGCUAAAAUGGUAGCCAGUGCCUUUCCUCUUACUGUGCUUUCUGGUAAAACAUAAAUGGGAUUCAGACCACAAAUGACCAAUUAAAGCCUUUUUCCUUUAGCUAUCGGACAGUAGCUAUCCUAAGUAAAUACAACAAACAGGCUACUUUGUGGUAGUCUAACCCCAGCAAUAUAUAUAUAUUUUAAAUCAAAGCCUUAAGAAAACAAAAUGUCGUGACUUUUUGUAGUGCUGCACAAUGAAAAAAUACAUAUGUAUUCCAAUGUGGAACUGAGCAUUGUUUGAGGCCAAAGCAAUUCAUCCUGGGCUAUUCUCUGCUGCAGUGUCCAGCAAAUUGCAUGACCUGCUUGUUAGGCUUUGACAACAGUGUUUUACCUAACAAAGGCUUCUGCAGUGCCGAGCAGCAGUAAACUGUCAGAACGAGCACAUUUCACACACAGAUGUGCAGCCAUAAUAGCCUGUAAGAAGAUGCAUGUGGCAGGGAGCAAAGGGUGGGGGCUGGGUACUUAGAGUGGUGUGGCAUGUGAGUGUGUAGGUUGGGGGCCAGCAGGAGGGGGAGGCCAACAGUUAGCAUAGGGACAUGGCCCUACUGACCACAUUUAAUCAGCCCUCUGUAAACAAUUCAACAUUUUCAUUGUUCUCUAAAAACUAAUAAAGAGAAACAAAUACUUUUCAUUCAUCUUGAAGUAAUUUUCUGUCAGGUUGGAGCCCCUUGUGGCCUCCAGCUUGUGCCAUGCUAGCUGUGUGAUACAACAACUAUUGCAAUUUAUUUUACAAACUCUGGUCAUUCACAUGUCAGUUAGUGUUCACCAAGCCGGCAUCUGAAAUUGUGCAGUUAACGAGUUUUACAACAUUUCUAUCAAGAGAAACUGUUUAGCAUAACUGACUCUUAAGGAGUUAUUAUACCUCUAAAAAUCCAUUUUAAGGGGCAUUAUUUAAAUAAAAUAGAAAAACGGUUCACUGCCUUUUAAAGGGGCUACAAAAAAAGUCCAUCAGCUCCAGUGCAGUAAUCCUCAGCUUAAAGCACUCUUGAGAGUACUUCUGGGAAUUGUCAGCAUAAUGAAAUGUUUUGUGAAAUGUCCAGAUAGAUUCCUCUGCUCAACAAUUUUACUGCACCGUAUUUAUUUUCCUUCCAGUUUUUAAAGAAGUGAAUUACUUUUUGAGAGGAUGACUCUAUGUUGUGUAGAUUAACUGAGCACAUUAUUACCCAGGUUGUAGCAGAAGUGAUGAUUCUGUUUGCAGUGUCAUCUAUAUGCAUCUGCAGACAGGGGCAAAGAAGAGAAAGGCAGCUUUUUCCCCUUAAUACUUUUAGCUCUGAAAGGGUUAAAUCACAAGGAGCCUUGCAGAGUUUCACAUUUUCCCCACACCAGAUUUUCCCAGGGACUUUCAAGCAACUUUUAAACACGAUGGCACCUGUAAAUACUUUCUUUAACUUUACUAAAUGGACACUGUUUUCUUACCUUGAAUAAAUAAAUGCAGGAAAACCUAUACACAUGUACACUGGCACAUGCAUAAUAACGCAUGUUGUUUGAACUGAGCCCAUUUCAAUAGGAGAUGCUAUUGAACGUUUUACUUAAAGAAGAAUAGAUUCUUCACAUUAACAGAGAUGGCCAAUGACCCCAAACCAAUUAAUGGCUAGAGUCUAUAAUGGAGCACUAUAUAGCAUAGCAGCAAGUUCAUUUAGCAUAGUAUAUUACCUGACAGGAGUAGAAGCCCCCACUUGUAAUGUAAAUGGCUUAAUGGUUCUUCCUGCAAUGAGCAAGAUCAGGAGAAAAAUUAUGUUCUGCUUAACAGAUAUUCCAUAUCCUUAGGAGUUGUAUCUAUAACAUGGCACAUUUUCAUUUUGCCACAAAUGGUCCCCUAAUUUCUUAGACUGAUGUUUGUGCACAUGACUUUAAUUUUCUGAGGGAGACAGGCAGGUGUUCUUGUGCCUCUUAGCUGUGUCUGCCCAUAAGAAGCACAGUAACAUCCAUGAGCUGAAUACAAUUUGACAUAAUUCAUGCCUUUAUUACCUCCUACAGAAUUAUAUUAUUUCAUGCUGACACAUUAAUGUUCCAGCACCAUACUGUCACUACUGGAAAUUUUACCUUUUGAAGUUCAAAUAUUGAGGAAUGAGUUUUAAAAUUUUCUAACUGUCUUACUUAGAUUUGGGGAAAUACAAAGAUUCCAAGGUCAGCUUUGUACUCUUCGAUGUUUGGUGGCACUGCCGAUAAUAUGGAGAUAAUGAGCAAAGAUCGUAUCUGAAAACUCUCACCUCUUCUUGACCAAAGAGCUUAUUCUCAUUCUAUUUCUAUUUUUGCAAAUAAUAUUUUGUCAACUUAUCAUGGCAUACUUUGCUGCUAUAUGUUCCCUGUACCUCACACCCCCUCCACCAAGUGAUGUAAACUUAGGAAAUCUUGUCCGAAAAUGUUUAACUGAUUGAUUGCAACUUGAAUCCAUUUGAUGUAGUACUUAAAUCUAACCUAAUACUCCAGCAUUCACAAUUAGUUAGGGAAGAUGGACUGUAUGUUUCCUAUUACUGCCAUAAUAAAUUACCCAAAUUUAGUGGCUUAAAAUAACUCAAAUGUAUUAUCUUACAGUUCUGUAGGUUAGAGGUCUUUCUGGGCUAAAAUCACUUCUUGACAAAGCUGCAUUCCUUCUGGAGGCUCUAGGGGAGAAGCCUUUUCCUUUCCUAGCUUCUUGACACUGCCUUCCUUCCUUGGCUUGUGGCCCCUUCCUCCAUCUUCAAGAUUUGCAGGGGUGAGUUGAAUCUUUCUCAGAUGGCAUUGAUUGGACCCUCUUCCAUUGUCAAAUCUCUCUCCGACUGCAGCCAGAAAACGUUCUCCACCUUUAAAGACUCAAGUGGUCAGAUUGUGCUCACCCAGAUAAUCCCAGAUAAUCACCCCAUCUCAAAGUCUAUAUCCUAAAUCACACCUGCAAAGUUUAUUUUGCUCUGCCAGAUAUUAUAUUCAGGUUCUGGCAAAUACAAGACUCAGAUAUCUUUGGGCCUGGGUGGGGACCAUUAGUCUGCCUAUACCACAUGGAGUCUCUGAGUUCUUUCUCAAUCCAGUGUCUGAGGAAUGAAUAGCAGUCCCCAGCCUCUUCAAACUUUUAAAGUCAUGCACAAAAAUAGUUUUAGAAUUUUGAGUAUGCACCCCAGUGUAUGUACAUUUCCUCUGAACCAUACAACUACCUAUAUUAAUAACAUAUAUACUUUUAGUACAUAAAUAAGUAAAAACAGAUCUUUUAAUGAUGUCUUUGCACCCCAGUGCCUCUAGGGCUACAUGCCUCUUGUUUUGGAGAAAAAGGAAAAGGGAUGAAGUUUGGCUCCACUUGUGAAAAGGCGGCUUUUUCUUCCUUCAGAGCUAUAAGGCUUCAGGAUGAGGAAGGGUCUGCAAAGACUUUCUGGUAGCCUCGGAUAGUUUCUGGAAGUGAGGAAGAAAAUUAUGGACAUAUGCUUUGCUUACACUGUUAUUGCCAUUGGUAGUUACAGAGUGUAAAAGUAUAGAAGGUUACGUGCCCCAAACUUUUCUGGAAGUUGAGAGCUGCAAAUGAUAGAAUUACAAAACAAAUGCUGUUUUGGAAAAGACUAGAAAGAGAUUGUUUACCAAAGGCUCUAGAAUAAGGCCAUAUCUCAUGAGAACAACCACUCAUACCAGUGCACUUGAAAAAUCCCAAGAAACCAAUUGCUCAAUGAUCAUUUUAAACACAAGUAGCAAGGUCCAUGUGAAACAGCUUAGAAAAAGGUAAUUCUGCUAAGUUCACUUUAAAUCAUAUUUUUCGCCUUUAGAAAACAUGUAUAUUAUACCAGUCACACUUGCCCUCCGUGGCAUGAAGGCUUAUGUAGAGCAGAAAACCAGAAAUUGUAACAUACGCCAACUCUGUUAAGUCCCCUUGUGUUAGCAUUUGAGAUGUUUUCGGAGCAGUCACCCUCCUAAGCGGGAUCUUGCUAACACAUGCUGAUAUAACUCUGAAAUAAAAAAGAGCUUCUGCUGGCGAAUGAAAAGUAGGUUGCCACAGAAAUGUACAUCAGUUGGGAAACAAGUCAAUAAGUGUUUGCCAGCUGCCAUAAGUGUCCCGGAGGCAGUCUGGGCAGUAUGUUUUCAUUUGAUUUGCUGCAGGCCAUUUCCAUUCUCUUUCCAAAAGGUGGACAGGUAGUCUUCUUAAAUCCUUUGCUGAUAGUUUCCAUCAGUGAUCUCAAAAUAUAACAUGUCGAUAAUUACUGUACAAAGAAGUUAAACAUUACAGUUAAAUUUCCACACUGAAACCCAAUCCAGGGAUUAGCAACAAUAGGGAAUCUGUUUUAUUUGCAUUUAAUUUGUACCUUCGCACUAUUAUCUCCCAUGUUUUAGUCUCAGGAAACGUGGUCUCAGGCUAUUAUAACCACAUUUCAUGCUGCUGUUUCACUGUUAUUUGAUCUCUAUGUUUGGGAAUGACUUACUGAAAAAAUAAAGCUAGCAUACUUUAUUUUAAUUAUACCAGUACAGUGUCUAAAUAAAAAAUGUACUUUAUAUUUAAUGUGGAGCACAGAUUAACAGUUUUAUGGGACAUAAAAUCUAUCUAUAUCAUUUUCUAUUUACACAUCAGUUAUAUAUCUCUCUCUCAGCAAAACAAAUGUCUAUGGUGUGAAAACGAGGAAGGAGCACAUCGAAGUUACAAUCACAUGGGCAGUAAAUAACAUCUUAAUUGGUGUGGAAUGCCGGAGUUUGAUUUUUUUUGCUGCCUGGCUUUUAUUUAUUGAUCUCUAUAGCUUAUUUAUCUUCCCAGUGAUUUGUACAAGUCUAUCUCCUUUCCUCAAUAAGCCAAUCUAUGGUGGUUUUAUAUUGCAGAUCCCAUCUGGGGAAAUGGUCUGGUGAGAGAGAAGUGCAGUUGCUCCUGGAAAAGCCAUUAUUUAAAAGCUUUUGUAGAGGUUGCUGGAAAAGUCAAGCCUGCAAAUAACCACUUUGAUAAAUGUAUUAUCUUCUACAAUUGCGAUGUAAAGAUCACCAGAAAAAGAUCUGUAAGUUUCACCUGGGGAACCAGAAAAUUUCUUCACAGAGGUCCCAGAGGGACGCAGACUCAACUUUAUGAGAAGCAGCACCACUGCCGCCCUCCCUGCUCCCCUUAAUCAC